rnacentral:rRNA from 1 species
GUUUGAUCAUGGCUCAGGACGAACGCUGGCGGCGUGCUUAACACAUGCAAGUCACGGGGGGCCCGCAAGGGUCAACCGGCGAACGGGUGCGUAACAUGUGAGCGACCUGCCCAGUUGCGGGGGAUAGCCGGCCCAACGGCCGGGUAAUACCGCAUACGCUUCUCUGGGGGCAUCCCUGGGGAAGGAAACCUACGGGGCGAUUGGAGGGGCUCGCGGCCUAUCAGCUAGUUGGCGAGGUAACGGCUCACCAAGGCGAUGACGGGUAGCUGGUCUGAGAGGAUGGCCAGCCACAUUGGGACUGAGAGACGGCCCAGACUCCUACGGGAGGCAGCAGUGGGGAAUCUUGCGCAAUGGCCGAAAGGCUGACGCAGCGACGCCGCGUGGAGGAUGACGCCCUUCGGGGUGUAAACUCCUGUUGCCCGGGACGAAUGCCCCUUUUGAGGGGAGUGACGGUACCGGGUGAGGAAGCACCGGCUAACUCUGUGCCAGCAGCCGCGGUAAUACAGAGGGUGCGAGCGUUGUCCGGAAUCACUGGGCGUAAAGGGCGCGUAGGCGGCUCGGUAAGCGUGUGGUGAAAGCCCGGGGCUCAACCCCGGGUCGGCCAUGCGAACUGUCGAGCUGGAGCACGGUAGAGGCACAUGGAAUUCCGGGUGUAGCGGUGGAAUGCGUAGAGAUUCGGAAGAACACCGGUGGCGAAGGCGGUGUGCUGGGCCGUAGCUGACGCUGAGGCGCGACAGCGUGGGGAGCAAACAGGAUUAGAUACCCUGGUAGUCCACGCCGUAAACGAUGGGCACUAGGUCCUUGGGGGAGCGACCCCGUGAGGGCCGGCGCUAACGCAUUAAGUGCCCCGCCUGGGGAGUACGGCCGCAAGGCUGAAACU